GAGAUUGUUACGACGCCGGUGU
rnacentral:siRNA from 1 species